GCCCAGAAAAUUGGCACCGCGUAAUCCUGCAAGUGGACGUUCAUUUAUUCUCUUAAGUCUGAGCACUCCAUUUAUCAUGUUUAAAUUUUAAUUUUACUUUAUAUAGGAUGGAUGUCUGACCAAAAAUUUAUCUUUCAAAAUUUUUUUGAUAUCAUACGAUACAGUAACAAAAAAAUAAAUAAAAUAAAAAAUAAUCAAAUAUGUGAAUAAGUCAAAAAAGAUUCAUUUUCACGGGAC
rnacentral:lncRNA from 1 species